CCUACGGGUGGCAGCAGUAGGGAAUCUUCCACAAUGGGCGAAAGCCUGAUGGAGCAACGCCGCGUGAACGAAGAAGUUAUUCGUAAUGUAAAGUUCUUUUAACAGGGAAGAAAGAGAAAUUUGACGGUACCUGAAGAAUAAGCUCCGGCUAACUACGUGCCAGCAGCCGCGGUAAUACGGAGGGAGCGAGCGUUAUCCGGAAUUAUUGGGCGGAAAGGGUGCGUAGAUGGCAUAGUAAGUCUUUUGUAAAAAUGCUUGGCUCAACCCAGUAGGGCAAAAGAUACUGCAAAGCUAGAGUAUGACAGAGGCAAGUGGAACUACAUGUGUAGCGGUAAAAUGCGUAAAUAUAUGUAAGAACCCCAGUGGCGAAGGCGGCUUGCUGGGUCGAUACUGACAUUGAGGCACGAAAGCGUGGGGAGCAAACAGGAUUAGAUACCCGAGUAGUC
rnacentral:rRNA from 1 species